UACGUAGGGACCAAGCGUUGUUCGGAUUUACUGGGCGUAAAGGGCGCGUAGGCGGCCUGACAGGUCACUUGUGAAAUCUCCGAGCUUAACUCGGAACGGUCAAGUGAAACCAACAGGCUAGAGUGCAGAAGGGGCAAUCGGAAUUCUUGGUGUAGCGGUGAAAUGCGUAGAUAUCAAGAGGAACACCUGAGGUGAAGACGGGUUGCUGGGCUGACACUGACGCUGAGGCGCGAAAGCCAGGGGAGCAAACGGG
rnacentral:rRNA from 1 species